GAAAGGGAAGGAGGGAACUUAGGACAUCGCAGCGAUCGAUCGUGGGGUGUCCGGAACUGCGGCUACCGAUCGGCUGCUGCACCUUCUUCUCAGGUGGUUCCAUAUUUGCAGGUGUGCCGGAGCAAAUCAUAUAUUGCCUUCUCGUCCAGGAGUAUCAAACGGAGGAGAGUAUGUAUAAUGCGGUGAGAAGGUUCGGUAAGGUACGAUUCGUUAGGAGUACCCCACAAGGUUGUGGCCGAAGAAGCCAAUGGGUCUGGGAAAUUUGGGAUGGGAGAUGAAUCGGUUUAGUCGGGUAUUGAUGGUGUUCUGUUCCCCACUGAAGAAAAGACGAAUUCCGAAACGAAAUUGAUUCACACAGUACUCUUACCACUACUAAAGUUACUGUUAAAUCUCAGAAUAGGUGCUUCAAAAACAAAUCUUUUUUCCUUUCCUUAUCUUCAUUACUUUCUCAGACAUUGGAAUUCCAGUUCUUAUUUCACUUGUUUGUUAUAUCUGCCGGAUUCCGGUGAUGUUUAGUUCAGUGAGGUUGUCGGCUCCGAUGAGUUUUUAUGUGGGUCACAUCGUCUUUAUCUGGUUUUAUUAAUUUGACACUCACUCUGUGGGUCACAUCUCUUUUGGUGGACCGCGUUUCUUCACUUUGAAUAAUUCAAUUCAUUGUUACGACUUACGACUACCUACUUGUUUAA